GUCCAGAGCUUCGGCGGGGAGAAGAGGAAGGCGGGGCCGGGGCGGGGCCUGACUAGGAGGAGGGACCGAGGUGGGAGCCUGGAGAGGCGGAGCUAGGGCUGGAAGAGCGAGAGAGAAAGAGAGAGAGAGAGAGAGAGAGACUCUCCUACACCAAUAAGCGAGCUGAAGGCGGGGCAGGGCUAAGAGGAAGCGCAAGGCAGGAUGCGGGCAGGAUCUGGUGGUGGUCUUCUCUCCUGAAUAUUUCUCCUGUCGGAAACUCUCACCCAAAUCGGUGUUCCAGCCUCCACGGAACAGGCGGAGGAGCCUUCAAAGAGCACACGGAGAAGGUUGCCCUUCUGUUUUCUGCUAUAGACUUCCCUGAAGGCUGGGAAUUGUCCAAAAAUCUUGUGGCCGACCUGUGAUUUCAUGAUCGUGUUUUUCACAUCGCUUCCCCUAGAACCCGCCUAAGGACCGGAGUCUUAAGAACCGGGCAGAGUUUGCGUGGAAUCCUGGCCCCGCGAGACCAGCAAUUAUAGCUCGGAUUGUAUUGUUUGAGGACGUCCCUGUCUCUCUUCAAAGGAAGAGAAAUCAAAUUGGAGAAAUAGUGAUACUGAGACCAAGGCCCGGAACGUUCUUCCUCCACCUCUUCUAACUUCUGGUUCCUUCUUCUGCCUCAAGGCUCUAUUUAAAUAUCACCUCCCUCGGAGAGGCCUUUCCCACCCCACCUAAAGAUGUUCUCUAGUUUAGUCUCUUACUCAUUUCCUUCAUGGUAUUUCUUAGUCUUGUCAUUUAUUAGUCUGUUGGUGUGUUUUUGUCUGUCUCCCCACUAGAAGGUAAGUUCCAUGAGACUAAGCAUCUUUGGUUGGGUGCAUCACUGUUACCAGACUUAGUGCAAUGUCUGGCAUAGACCAGGUGUUCAAUAAACACUUGAGUGAAUGAAUCAGUCAACCAACCGAUUAAGGAAUUGGUCCCUGCCAAUCUCGGCUCUGUUUCUGACCAUUCCUGGCUCGUCACCUCCCUCCCUUUGUACAGGCCUUACCAUGUGCACUUGAAUACACCACAGUCUCUCAGCACCCUCUGCUGUAGCACAUUCCCUACUUGAACUGCCCCUUCCCUUCUGCCUAGGUGCCUCCUGUUCAUCCUUAAGAACUCAACUCAGGAACCACCUCUUCUGAGAGGCUUUCUCUGCCCUCCCACCAGCCCCACCACCAGAAGAAUCUUUGAAGAUUACAGUAUGAAGGGAGAUGUUUCUGAAGACUGUGCUGGCAAUACUAGCUAAUGUGGUGCAUUUACUAGUUGCCAGGCACUGUGCUAAACACUUUUCAAAUGUAUUUAAUUCCCACAGCAGCCCUAAAGAUGAGAAAGUGUGACAUCCCCAUUGUCUCACAAAUGAUAGACAAAGGAAUCAGGAUUUGAACCCAAGGCCUUCUGAGCCACAAGGCCUAUAUUCAACCACUUCCUCUCCCCCUCACUGGAAUUAUUUCUGCCCUAUGAGAAAGCAGAGACCCAAAAAAAGGAAACAGUAUCCUCAGCCAAGCAGAAGCUGAGCUGCCCCAUUCUUAUGCUUCUGAAUCAGCUCCUUCCACUGCAUCUCCCACUGCAAUAACUUCCAUCCAGAGACAGACAACUGGUCUUCAUCAGCCUUCUAUACCUCCCCCUGUAUUUGUCUGGAACACAGAUGUGAUGCACAGAGGCGCAGCAGCCAUCUUGAAAUCCUGAGAACAAAAGAUUGACUUGAUAAGAAUGGUAAAGGAGAAAGACAGAAAGAGCCUAGAUUCCUCCAGACUUCUUAUGUGAGCUAAAUGAAGCUAAAUGAAGCUCUAUAUAUUUGUGCCACUGUUACUUUCAAUUUCUGCUUCUUGAUGCCAAGCACAUUUCUGACUUAUACAGCAUAAUAUCUGGUUCAUCAUAGUACUCAGUAAAGAAUACCUAAUGUUA